rnacentral:rRNA from 1 species
UAGGGAAUCUUCCGCAAUGGGCGAAAGCCUGACGGAGCAACGCCGCGUGAGUGAUGAAGGUCCUCGGAUCGUAAAACUCUGUUAUUAGGGAAGAACAAAUGUGUAAGCAACUAUGCACGUCUUGACGGUACCUAAUCAGAAAGCCACGGCUAACUACGUGCCAGCAGCCGCGGUAAUACGUAGGUGGCAAGCGUUAUCCGGAAUUAUUGGGCGUAAAGCGCGCGUAGGCGGUUUUUUAAGUCUGAUGUGAAAGCCCACGGCUCAACCGUGGAGGGUCAUUAAAAACUGGAAAACUUGAGUGCAGAAGAGGAAAGUGGAAUUCCAUGUGUAGCGGUGAAGUGCGCAGAGAUGUGGAGGAACAGCAGUGGCGAAGGCGACUUUCUGGUCUGUAACUGACGCUGAUGUGCGAAAGCGUGGGGAUCAAACAGG